UUUUCGACUAAAGAGUGACCACCUUAUAAUACUUUUUUCUUUACUUUAAUACUUUAAAUAACCUUUGCUUUACUUUUUUCUUUUUUAUUUCUUUUUGACUUUAUUUUAUUUACUUUAUAUUUUAACUCAUUAGGUUCAGCGGUGGGUUCAUUCCCAUAAUAUUUCAAAUGAGAAGAAAAAAGGUAUCGCACAAUCAGAUCACUCAAAAAAGAAAAUUUUUAUUUCGGUUCAAUUC
rnacentral:lncRNA from 1 species